rnacentral:rRNA from 1 species
GACGAACGCUGGCGGCGUGCUUAACACAUGCAAGUCGAACGGAAAGGCCUGCUUUCCCUUGUGGAUUGCGGGUACUCGAGUGGCGAACGGGUGAGUAACACGUGAGUGAUCUGCCCCCAACUUGGGUAUAAGCCUGGGAAACUGGGUCUAAUUCCCGAUAGGACUGCAGGGUGGUGCCUGUGGUGGAAAACGAUUUUCUAGUGGUUGGGGAUGAGCUCGCGGCCUAUCAGCUUGUUGGUGGGGUAAUGGCCUACCAAGGCGGCGACGGGUAGCCGGCCUGAGAGGGUGGACGGCCGCAUUGGGACUGGGAUCCGGCCCAGACUCCUACGGGAGGCAGCAGUGGGGAAUAUUGCACAAUGGGCGGAAGCCUGAUGCAGCGACGCCGCGUGGGGGAUGACGGCCUUCGGGUUGUAAACUCCUUUCGACCGCGAGGAAGCCACCUGGUUGGAAGGGUGGUGACGGUAGUGGUAGAAGAAGCACCGGCUAACUACGUG